GCUUUCUCACCUUCGGGUCUCAACUCCGUCGUCUAGCCAUGAAUCCUACAAAGGACUCCGAUCCCCUCACCGAAGAGGAAUCCAGAUCGCUGUUCGAAAAGGGGCCGCCGCUCAAGGGCCGCGAUGAGAUCGCGGAGAAGCUCCGCAACUUUAUCAAUCGAAACUCGGGAGCUAGGGUUGUUUGUGUCACCUCCGGCGGCACCACUGUCCCUCUCGAGCAGCGCUGUGUUCGAUUCAUCGACAACUUCAGCUCCGGCCAGCGCGGAGCGGCUUCAACUGAGUACUUUGUGAAGGCUGGUUAUGCGGUGAUUUUCCUCAACCGAAGGGGGAGCUUGCAGCCGUACUUGAGGCAUUUGCCGCAGGAUUCGUUUCUAGAUUGUUUUGAGCUUGCUGAUGAUCAGGUUCAAGCGCGCGAAUCAUAUGCUGCGGUGGUUAAUAAGGCAGUUAAG
rnacentral:misc_RNA from 1 species